CAACCCUCAAGCCCCCGUUGCUUGGUGUUGGGAGCCUACGGGGUCACCCGUAGCUCCUCAAAGUUAGUGGCGGAGUCGGUUCACACUCUAGACGUAGUAGAUUUUCACCUCGCCUGUAGUGCUGGACCGGUCCCCUGCCGUAAAAACACCCCUAUUUCUAAAA
rnacentral:misc_RNA from 1 species